UUGGCCUUGACAUACUAAGAACUUUCCAGAGAUGGAUUGGUGCCUUCGGGAACUUAGAUACAGGUGCUGCAUGGCUGUCGUCAGCUCGUGUCGUGAGAUGUUGGGUUAAGUCCGCAACGAGCGCAACCCUUUCCUUAUUUGCCAGCGGGUAAUGCCGGGAACUUUAAGGAUACUGCCAGUGACAAACUGGAGGAAGGCGGGGACGACGUCAAGUCAUCAUGGCCCUUACGGCCAGGGCUACACACGUGCUACAAUGGUCGGUACAAAGGGUUGCUACCUCGCGAGAGGAUGCUAAUCUCAAAAAGCCGAUCGUAGUCCGGAUCGCAGUCUGCAACUCGACUGCGUGAAGUCGGAAUCGCUAGUAAUCGCGGAUCAGAAUGCCGCGGUGAAUACGUUCCCGGGCCUUGUACACACCGCCCGUCACACCAUGGGAGUUUGUUGCACCAGAAGUAGGUAGUCUAACCGCAAGGAGGACGCUUACCACGGUGUGGCCGAUGACUGGGGUGAAGUCGUAACAAGGUAGGCGUAGAUGA
rnacentral:rRNA from 1 species